ACUUUUAAUGGAAAACAGGCAUCCGCUGGUUUUAGGAGCC
rnacentral:tRNA from 1 species